AUUGAACGCUGGCGGCAGGCCUAACACAUGCGAGUCGAACGGUAACAGGAAGAAGCUUGCUUCUUUGCUGACGAGUGGCGGACGGGUGAGUAAUGUCUGGGAAACUGCCUGAUGGAGGGGGAUAACUACUGGAAACGGUAGCUAAUACCGCAUAACGUCGCAAGACCAAAGAGGGGGACCUUCGGGCCUCUUGCCAUCGGAUGUGCCCAGAUGGGAUUAGCUAGUAGGUGGGGUAACGGCUCACCUAGGCGACGAUCCCUAGCUGGUCUGAGAGGAUGACCAGCCACACUGGAACUGAGACACGGACCAGACUCCUACGGGAGGCAGCAGUGGGGAAUAUUGCACAAUGGGCGCAAGCCUGAUGCAGCCAUGCCGCGUGUAUGAAGAAGGCCUUCGGGUUGUAAAGUACUUUCAGCGGGGAGGAAGGGAGUAAAGUUAAUACCUUUGCUCAUUGACGUUACCCGCAGAAGAAGCACCGGCUAACUCCGUG
rnacentral:rRNA from 1 species